CCUUGUAACUGGAGUUAGAGAAAGUUGUGAGCCACUAUGUGGGUGCUGGAAAGUGAAUUUGGGUCCUUUGCAUGAACAAGGGCUCUUAACUCUGAGCCGUCACUCCUAAA
rnacentral:miRNA from 1 species